rnacentral:rRNA from 1 species
GAGCCUGCGAGUCAGGGACAUGUCGCGAGGUUAACCCGGGUGGGGUAGCCGUAGCGAAAGCGAGUCUGAAUAGGGCGUAUCCACACAACAGUGUGUGGUGUAGUGGUGUGUUCUGGACCCGAAGCGGAGUGAUCUACCCAUGGCCAGGGUGAAGCGCGGGUAAGACCGCGUGGAGGCCCGAACCCACUUAGGUUGAAGACUGAGGGGAUGAGUUGUGGGUAGGGGUGAAAGGCCAAUCAAACUCCGUGAUAGCUGGUUCUCCCCGAAAUGCAUUUAGGUGCAGCGUCGCAGUGUUCGUGUCGGAGGUAGAGCUACUGGAUGGCCGAUGGGCCUCACAAGGUUACUGACGUCAGCCAAACUCCGAAUGCCGACACGGUGUAAUGCGGCAGUGAGACGGCGGGGGAUAAGCUCCGUGCGUCGAGAGGGAAACAGCCCAGAUCGCCGGCUAAGGCCCCUAAGCGUGUGCUAAGUGGAAAAGGAUGUGCAGUCGCGAAGACAACCAGGAGGUUGGCUUAGAAGCAGCCACCCUUGAAAGAGUGCGUAAUAGCUCACUGGUCAAGUGAUUGUGCGCCGAUAAUGUAGCGGGGCUCAAGCACACCGCCGAAGCCGCGGCAGCGUAUUUAUACGCUGGGUAGGGGAGCGUCCUGCAUCCGGUGAAGCCGCCGAGUGAUCGAGUGGUGGAGGGUGUGGGAGUGAGAAUGCAGGCAUGAGUAGCGAUAAGGCAAGUGAGAACCUUGCCCGCCGAAAGACCAAGGGUUCCUGGGCCAGGCCAGUCCGCCCAGGGUGAGUCGGGACCUAAGGCGAGGCCGACAGGCGUAGUCGAUGGACAACGGGUUGAUAUUCCCGUACCCGUGUGUGAGCGUCCCUGAUGAAUCAAUCGUGCUAACCGCCCAAAAGGCGAAUCACCGAUCCCUUCGGGGUGAGGGUUUCGCCGGCUGCGCGGGACCCCGGUUGGUAGUAGUCAAGCGAUGGGGUGACGCAGGAAGGUAGCCGUACCAGUCAGUGGUAAUACUGGGGCAAGCCGGUAGGGAGACACCUAGGCAAAUCCGGGUGUCACAUAUCCUGAGAGGUGAUGCAUAGCCGAGUGAGGCGAAUUCGGUGAUCCUAUGCUGUCGAGAAAAGCCUCUAGCGAGCGCACACACGGCCCGUACCCCAAACCAACACAGGUGGUCAGGUAGAGAAUACCAAGGCGUACGAGUGAACUAUGGUUAAGGAACUCGGCAAAAUGCCCCCGUAACUUCGGGAGAAGGGGGACCCCUGUACCGUGUAAGCCCUUGCGGCCCAAGCGGGGUGGGGUGGCACAAACCAGUGAGAAGCGACUGUUUACUAAAAACACAGGUCCGUGCGAAGUCGCAAGACGAUGUAUACGGACUGACGCCUGCCCGGUGCUGGAAGGUUAAGAGGACCUGUUAACCCCUCGGGGUGAAGCGGAGAAUUUAAGCCCCAGUAAACGGCGGUGGUAACUAUAACCAUCCUAAGGUAGCGAAAUUCCUUGUCGGGUAAGUUCCGACCUGCACGAAUGGCGUAACGACUUCUCAACUGUCUCA